GCCAGGCGUGGUGGCACGUGCCUGUAGUCCCAGCUACUCAGGAGGCUAAGGCUGGAGGAUUGCUUCAGUCCAGGAGUUUUGGGCUGUAGUGCACUAUGCCAACUGGAUGUCUGCACUAAGUUCAGCAUCAAUAUGGUGACCUCCUGGGAGCAGGGACCACCAGGUUGCCUAAGGAGGGGUAAACCAGCCCAGGUCAGAAACGGGGCAGGUCAAAACUCCCAUGCUGAUCAGUAGCAGGAUUGAGCCUAUGAAUAGCCACUGCACUCCAGCCUGGGCAACACAGCAAGACCCCAUCUCU
rnacentral:SRP_RNA from 1 species